UGGUGGCUGGCACUGUGAGAGCAUCGUUCUCAGUCCGUGGCUGGUAAAUAAGAGAUAUAUUUGCACUAUUUGUCAGUUGACGCUUCAGCAGAAGACAAUGAAGAUUCUUGUGAGUGUCUCUUUGAGUGUGAUGGUCCUCCUACAGGACGCAGCGGCUGUUACACAUUCGCUGCAGUACAUCUACACUGCAUCAUCAGGAAUGACAGAUUUCCCAGAGUUUGUCAAUCUGGGAAUGCUGGAUGGUGUACAGAUGGAUUAUUAUGACAGUGUAAUUAGGAAAGUGAUCCCCAAGCAGGACUGGAUGGCCAAGAAUGAAGGACCUGAGUACUGGGAGAGACAGACUCAGGCCUCCUUUGGUGCUGAACAGUCCUUCAAAGUUAACAUUGGAACUGCCAAGGAGCGCUUUAACCAGACUGGAGGUGUCCACAUUGCCCAGAUGAUGUAUGGCUGUGAAUGGGAUGAUGAGACUAAUGAGGUGAAGGGAUAUUAUCAGGGUGGUUAUGAUGGAGAGGACUUCAUAGUAUUCAACAUGGAGACAGAGACAUGGAUCGCUCCAAUACCAGAGGCUGUCAUCACCAAACACAAGUGGGACAAUAACAAAGCUCUAAUCGCACACUGGAAGAACUACCUCACCCAGGAAUGUCCUGAGUGGUUAAAGAAGUAUGUGAACUAUGGGAGGAGCUCUCUGAUGAGAAAAGACGUCCCCUCAGUGUCUCUCCUCCAGAAGACUCCCUCCUCUCCAGUCAGCUGCCACGCUACAGGUUUCUACCCUGACAGAGCCAUGAUGUUCUGGAGGAAAGAUGGAGAGGAGAUUCAUGAAGGAGUGGAACGUGGAGAGAUCCUCCCCAACCAUGAUGGAUCCUUCCAGAUGAAUGUUGACCUGGACAUUUCAUCAGUCUCACCUGAAGACUGGAGGAGGUACGACUGUGUGUUUCAGCUCUCUGGUGUGGAGGACGACAUCAUCACCAAACUGGACAAAGCAGCAAUUAAGACUAACUGGGGAAAGCCUGAAGUAAAAAGUGGUGAUGGAGGGUUCCCUACUGCUGCUGUUAUUGGAGGUGUUCUAGGAUUCCUCCUCCUGGCAGCCUGCGUAGCUGGACUCAUCAUCUGGAAAAAAACGCAACAACAGUGAAGAACAAAAAUAUGGGUUUAAAUGCACUAACACUUCUGACACUUCAUCAUCAUCAUCUUGACGUACAGACCCAGAGAAGGAAAAAGCUCCACUGGCAUAAAGUGAAAGGUGAGAGGAUGAAAAAUGACGGGAUUUUUCAUCUUGACAUGAAGAACACGAUGAAAACCAACACUUGAAUGCACCAUCAGCAAAAUAAAUUUCUCAAAUUUUAAUUUUACGUCUGAAAUCAAGUUGUUUCAAUAUGUGUUUAACUAACUACUAGAAACAUUUACUUGUGUUCAGGCUUCAUUCAUUCAUGUGUAGGUUUCUCCAACAGCUGGCAGGUUGUUUUUAACCACUAAGCGGUUGUAGAAGAUGAGGAUAAGAGAAAUGUGUUCUAGUCAGAGUGUUGUUGAGCUGUAUCAUGUCAUCAGGCGUUUUUUUUUUUUUUUUUU